rnacentral:lncRNA from 1 species
CAGCUGCUACAUCCAAUCUUCCUCUUAUAGAGAUAUUUUAUCUAGUACAGUGAGUAUAUUAGCCACAUCUCCAAGUGUUUCGUAUUAUUUGAAAAAGCCUCAUCAGACUUCUUCUAUAGUGAUGCCUCAAUAGGCAUCUAGAAGAACAUAUAUGGAUUCCUCUAUACUACUAUUUUACUCGCCUCUUGAGUUGAGUAUUUUUUGAUCUAACUCUCAAGGAUAAGUAUUAUUUAGAGCCUCUUCAAAUCCACAAAAAGUAGAAUAUUUGGAUUCCUCAAGACUACUGGCUUCACUCGCCUCUUGAGUUAAGUUUGUACAAUUUCUCUUCAGCCUUCCAACCAAAGACCUUAUUUAUUCUCAACACUCCUUACAAUCUUGGAUUGUUAAGGAAUUGAGUAUUUAUAUGUUUCUCCAUACUACAAGUAUUGUUCUACCCCUCCAUUUUAGACUACCCACUAGAAAAUUUCUAGUCUUCUCAACAAUUUUGGUAAACAUGCGCUAUUGAAAAUCUUCGUGUUUACCGGUCCCUCCGGACUUACCUUUCCACAAAGGUGGUUGCCACUAUUGGGCGAGAUUACAAAAGAUUGAACUUCUGUUAGAUAUGAAAACAAAGUUAUCAUAAGACUCUAACUCUCGAAGAUAGGAUAUAACAAUAUUAAUUAUAUAUAAUCCAAGUAAAAAGUAACUCACUUAAGAGUUCAUUUUGAACGUACUAGGUUAAUUUAUAACAAGUUCUAGUAACUCUCAAUAGAGUGAAUAUUUCUAUUUCACUCAAUUUAUUACAGGCUUUUUCAGAUAUAUUCUUUUAUUGAACGUGUCUUUUUUUUUUUCCUAUCUUUUCUCUCAUAUCGUGGAUGUUUAACUGAACAAUCUCAUGGAAAAAUUGGUCAUAUAAUCUUCAACAUUCACAUAAAUUAUCAUGGACAUGAUCCUAAUGAUCAUUGUCCACUAUCUUCAGUAUAAAUGAUGUUUCUUAUAUAGUAUUGAAGUUCUAGUCGUUGAGAAAAAGUUGUUGUGCUAUGCUGAAAAGUUUUUGCACAUCAUAUAGAUAGUCGUUGAUGAUCAAACAUCUUAUUUAGUUGACCAAUUAUUUUGUUCCAUAGACUUGGACUUCAAGCAGAGGCAAUAUUUUUCAAAUGAAAUGUCAUUUUCAAAGGAAACUUAUUGUUGCAAUAGAUGACGUCUACCAAAUUAUCCAAGUAAUGUUUUUUUAGAGGCAUUCCAUAGAUUGAAUGGUACUUUUAUUUCUUUGAUCUUUAUCUUUGACUUCUCUUUAUUAUCAGAUUUAGAGUAUUGAUGAAAAUCUAUAUGUAUUUUGAAUGUAUCUUGUGUUACAUCUAUUUGAUCAAAUUGACCAGACAAUAAUUCACUAGAGAAUGUUGACAAUACUUAUUUUGUUGAAUCAAUAUAUGGUUCACACUAGAAUUAUAUUUACUUUGAUCAAUUUUCCUUUUUCUAAGUUAUAACUUUCUCUAGUAUUAUCAACUAUAACUAAUUGAUAAUUAGUUAAUAAUAUUCAUAAUAAUUCUUCCGAUUAGGGAUGUGAAUAGGUUGGGUCAAACUAGACUUUGCUAAGCCUGAGUCUGGCCUGCCAAAAAUUCAAGGACCAAGCCUAGCCAUUGGUCUGUCAUAGACUUACUUUUUAGUCCUGAGUCUGGUCUUGAUAGAAGUCUGGUAUGACCUGUUAGCCUGCUUAAAAGUCUAUUUCAUUUUAACAUUUUUGAAUGAGUAAUCAAACAUAUCUAUAAAUAGAUUAACGAGUUAAUAUAUCAAUAAAAUUAAGUUCUAUUUUGAUUUUUAAUAUCAUAUUUUGAAGAAUAUGACUUUAUAUACAUCCUACUUAAAUUAUAUUUUAUAAUAAUACGUUUAAAUAUGUCAAAAACUAAAUAAGGUUAAUAUGCGUAAAUUACUAAAAAUUGAAUAUAUAUAUAACAAAAAGGUCGGCCUAAUAUGCCUAAAAGAUUUAUUAUGUGGCCUAUAGCCUUACAUUUUUAACUAAAUAGACUUUUUUAGAAACUUUUAUCUUAUUUGUUUAGGAAAAAAACUUAGUCUAAUCUGAGACUGUACAUAUCGAUCGAUCUGACCUAUUUUCAUCCCUUCUAAUAAACAGCACGUGUUAUAAAUUGAGACAUAGUAAAAAUGGCAUAUUAUAAAUUGAUGCAUGUUCACCCAAUAUGCAAAUUAAUCAUCAAUCAAUUCACAUUAGGUCCAUUCCCGAAUCAUUGCACGUAGGAAGACCGUAUCCUAUCUGACUAUAUACUUUUAUUAAUUAAUUUAUUGUUCUUUAUUUAAUCGAUUACUUAUGUUACCUAAUAAAUUAAUCCACUAACUUUGACGAUUACAUAAAUUCCGGUUACUCCUAAUUCAUUAACUUUUUUUAAGCAGUUUUUUUUAUAUAGUAAAUUAUAUCAUAAUUAAUUGACACAAAUGUGACGUGUUAAGUACGAACUCAGAUAAGACGUCCAAUCUGAUAGGGGUUAAGAACUUAAAACAAUUAAUAUUAAUAAUUAAUAUUUUUGUAUUUUUAUGAGGGUAAGAAUCAAACCUCGACCUCUUCUCAUUUUACUCCUUAAACUCCUUAUUUCAAUCACCAAAUCAACCUUAGGAUCUCCUUCCAAAUCGAUUAUGUAUCUCAUUUAGUUGAUCAAUUCAUUAACUAAGACAAUCUCGCCAAUUCUAAUCAAUUAAUUAAUAUAUCUAAUUGAUUAUCUUCAACUUAAUCCAUUAAUGAAGGUCUUAACUCAUUAAGCCUGGGAACAGGUUGACACUUAGUAAUUUUGGAUUUUCUAGUUACUUAAUUGAAUGGCUUUGUUCAACUAAUUAAUUAACAUUACAUGUAAUCGAUUAAUAUGUUUUAUCUAAUCGAUUAAUAUAGUUUAUCAGUAAAUUUGAUAGUAAAUUUGAUAGUUUGUAUAAUUCAACAUAAACAUACCAAACAUCAAUUAUCAUAGAAGUUCAUCACUAAAACAUAAAUUUCAUACAUUCACAAAUAUAAUUCACAUAAUUCAGAAAUUAACAAUUAAUAACUGCAAUUAACACUACAAUAACAUAUUUUGAUCAAUAUAGUGAUUGUCACAUCAUUAGAGAUACUCUAAUUCAUUACUUUCUGGUUUGUUGUUCCUCUUAGCGAUUACUACACACUUAACCCUUAUCGUGCAAACCGUAGGAAUUGUGGAUCUCUAUUUAAAAUAGUUAUUCAAUUAACUUAUUACAUUCAAGAGUUAAACUCAUUUCGUACAAUAAUCAUCAAAAUAUGAAUUCAUACUAACAGUUGAAUUACAGCAAGUAGUUUUACAAAGAAAAAAAAAACUUUAAAUGCAAAAUUAGAGAAAACAAUUUAGUUAGAUCAAUUUACCAAACAAUGAGUGAUUCUAAAAUGACUGAUAUUUUAACAUGAGUUAAAAACCGAUAAUAGAUUAUAUUAAAGUGAAAAAAACUACAUAUACACGUGCUAUCAUAAUGAAUAUACCCAAGUUUAAAAUUUCCCUAACAAAUCCAAAAGAAAGUGACAUAAAAUCCCUUAUGUGGUCUAAAAGUUGUUUCAAAUCUUAACUUUUGAAUAAAACCCUAAACUGUUAGUAGAUGAUAAUGAAACGAAGAAAUUGAAUUUUAAAAACAUAAGAACAACUACGACAAUAAGAUGAAUCAAGUUAUAGUUGUAUAAAUGGAUGAUAAAAGUUUCAUUAAUCAAAACCUUAGCUUGCAUCGAAAUGUUGACAAAACAAUUAUCUAACUACUAACUAAACUAGAUAGAUUAAACGAUGAAAUGUUAUGAGGCUUGCAAUCAAAAUCACUUUGAUAGGUCUUUCGACGAGUAUUGACAAAGGGUUGAGUUCAAAGAGAAGAGAAAUAGAUGGUAAGAAGUAAGAACUGAAAAAAUAUUAUCUAUCUAUAGUUGUUGAUCUAGUCGUUUUGUCUUAGAAAUUUUGAUCAUCAAUCAACCUAUGUCAAUUCUAUCUCAUCCAACCAGAAAGUGUCACAUCAAAAUGAGUAAAUCAUGUCUUAACUCGUUUAGCAGUUUUAAGCUCACUUAGUGACACUUUUUCCACCGAAACACUUGAUUAUUGAAUCCACCUUUCUCCUUCAUGAAGCUAAUUUCUUCACAACGAAGAAAUUUCACAUUUGUUUAGUGAUUCCUAUUUUGCUUAGCUGGCAUUGCUGAUACUAAAAAUUGUAGUUUUACUUGAUUACUAAGGAACCAAAGUAAGGUUCUAAUCCCUUAAAACCCACAAAGCCAAGAUACACAAUAAAAUCAUAAUGAAACUUAUAAAUAACAAAUCAAGAGACAAUGAGGCUUUAUAGUUAUGUUCGAUCAUUUUUUCUUUCUAGUAAGAGAGAUCUUUUCUGUCUUUUCUUAAAAAAUAUAUAACCAAUAUUAUUAAAUAAAAAAAUUCAGGCAUAAAAACUUGCUUUAAUAAUUUACUUAAGUCUUUAAGAGGCUCUGCAUUAAUUAAUGAAUUUUUAUGAUUAACGAAACCAUAAAAAUAUUAUAUUUUAUCACUUGAUCAUUACAAGACAUUUAAUAAUUUGUAAAUGUUGACAAUAUAUAAUUAAUAUUUUAGAACCUUCAAAAUUUUGGGGUCUUGAGCAAUGACCCAGUCCACUCGGUCAUGGACCAAUCUUGUUAUAAAGGCAUUACAAUAAAAAAUUGUAAAAUAAAAGCAUUAAAAUAUUUUUAUUUAUAUGAAAUUUAUCUCAAAUCAUUGUUGUCAUGGAACUAUAUUUGGAGGGAAAAACCAACGACACUGAAUAUACCUUUUAACCAACUUCGUUAUGAUACAAAUAAACCAAAACGCUAUACCUAAAUUCAUCAAGUUUGAAUGGUUUAAUGACUAAUGAACAAUUUAUAUAUUGAGCUGAUAAAUCAAAUUUAUAAACCUGUUUUGAUUGAUUGAAAGCUCUUCGUAAUAUCUUUGCUUUAGAGAACUUAUUUCCAACAAAGAAGCAAGGUUUAUCUGAGAGUGGUGGAUGUCGCAAUCCGAAGCAGAUUACUAGGGCCGUGUAUCAUUCAGCCAGAUCUAAUUUCAACGGUUUUAUAACGCCAAUUUUGUCCAAUCUGCCAGCAUUGAUUGUCAUUCAAUGAUCUUGUCCCUUAUGUGUUGGGACAACCCUUGUAUAAAUAUGUCUCUGACAUGACAUCGAUAAAGGUACACCAUUUUCAUCCUUCUACCUUUCACCCUCCUUGGGUCAAUGCUCGAGUUUAAGAGUAUUUUUAAGUGCCACCCUCUCAACGGAUUUGAAGUUUCUAAUCAGACUAAGGAAGCCAACCAUCCUCUUCGAUCCAUAUCAGAUCAGUCCUUAUAAAAUUUUACUUUUAGUUUUUAUAAAAAAAUUUCCAACUUUUUAGUCCAUAAAAUUUUUUUUAUUCACUUUGUAUCCAAUUUUGAAUUUUUUUUUUUGUAAAAAAUUGAUCUUUUAAUCUCUAUAAAAUCAAAAGACUAAAAGCGAAUAAAUGAUUUUGGAGAUUAAACUUGAAAUGUCAUAAUUUUAUAGAAAUUAAAUAUAUUUAACUCUUUUUUUAAUAAUCAAUAAUAUUAAAUAAAAAAAUAGGCAUAAAAACUAAAUAUGGCGAUAGGGCGGGACAAAAGAAGAUUUCAAUUCAGAUUUAUAUUAUCUCAAUCCAAAUCCCCCUUAAUCUCUUCCAAUUAUCUCUAUUAUUCUUAAUUUUUAUUUUUAUUUUUUAUUUUUUUUCGGUUUACAUUAAAAGUUUAUAUCAUAUAUAUCAUGUAAAAUUUUACACCAAAUUUAAAAUUAUUUUAUAUAUUACUUAGAUAAAUUAAAAUUUACGCUAAUCUUCAAAAGUCUCAAAUAUAUCAAAUGAUUUUAUAUUUGUACGUACCAAAUUUUACAUACAUGAUCUAUAUGAUAUAAUAUUUCAAUCCAAAGAAAAAUAAAUUGGAAACAAAAAUACCGUGAAGACCCUUUAAUAAUCUAAUUUUAAAUAAAAAAUUAGGCAUAAAAACUAGGUAUAAAAAAAUAGAGUGAAAAAAACGGAUAGACUUAAUUUAGUCUCUAAAAAAAAUAAAAGUUACUUACAAUCUUUGAGAAAAAUAAACCACAAAAAAUUAGUUCUUAUCUUUUUUACACUUUUUUUUUGCCGAUGAAAGAAAUAUAGAGGAAUAAAAAGAAAGUGAAUAACAGAAGAAAAAAAAUUAUAAAAAAUAAGAUGAUUAUCUAGUACUUUAAUACAAAAGAAAGAGUUUAAUUUAUAUACACCGAUAAUGUAAAGUCAUUUUAUACUUUUAUCUAAUAAAAAUAAUCGAUUUUUACAAAUCAACUUAUAACUUAUUUGUUAUGGCUCUUUGUGAAAAAAAAAACACUUUUAGGAGAUAAUUAAAAAAACUAUUUAAAAAUAAUUUAAAUAAGAAACUAUUUUCUACAAAUUAUUUGUUAUGGCCUCUUUGUUACCGAUUAUUUAAAUAAGAUAAAAGUAUUUGUUAUGGCCUCUUUGUUACCGAUUAUAAAAAACACUUUGUAAAAAAUAUUUAAAAAUAAUUUUAAAUAAAAAACUAUUUUUAGUAGCUUCUCUCAAAAGUAAUUUUUCAUUAUUGGAUUUUUCUAUAAAAAUUAUUUUCAUUACAAUUAACUAUAACAAAAUAAAUUCGACAUGUUUAAAAAUCUCUAGAUUAACACAAAAUCACUUUAUUUUUAUAAUCGGUAACAAACGAACCCUUAAAAUAUUUCAAUGAAAUUUAAAUUAAAAUUGAAAAAACUAUAAAUAAAUAUGGUCUCCAUUCAAUUAAAAAUGAUGAUAAGGGUUAUUGAAUUAUUUAUCCAUUUAGGAUUAUUUUUAAGUUUUUUUAGUUUUUAUUCAAUUAAAUUAUGUUAAGCUGAUGUGUCAAAAUAUUAAUUGUUAUUGGAUAAUAAUGUAAAACUUAUAAAAUUAGUUUACACCAUCGAUGCAUAUAAAUUAAACUUUAAAAAAAAUAUGUGUAUUUAUAAAAUGACAUAAAUGUGUUUAAGCAAAAAAAAAAUUAUGAUUUAAAGAAAAUUUAACAAAAAAUUAAAAAAUCUAUAGAUAAUAAAAACAUUUGCAAUUUAAUAAAUUGAAAUACUUUGUUUGAUUGUUGCACAAUUUAUUUUAUUUAUCUAUUCUUUAUUUUUAUAUUUUAUAAUUUUUUAUUAAUUGUAACCAAAUUUAAUUUUUUAUUUUUUUUAGAUAUUUCAUUUUUUUUAGAUUUAUGUCAUUUUAUAAAGACACAAACUUUUUCUAUCAAAAUUUCUUUUCAUUUUGUCUUAUAUUAACCUACUAAAUAAUCAACUUUUUUUUCUAUUUAUUUUCUCUUCUUUUCACUUUAUUUUCUUUCCUUUAUAUUUAUAAAGAUUAAAACCAAACAAAAUAUAAAGAAAGUAGGGACUACGUUGUCUUGGUUUGAUUUUCUUAUGACCAAAUUCUUUUUUUUUUCUUUUUCCGGGAACUAUAUUGAGUCUCACGAUUUAUUUUUUCAGAGAAUAAAAGGAUUUUUACUCUAAAAAUUAUACUAAUAGAAAUAUAGGAAUUAAUGGAAAUCAAAUUAAAUUUAAAUUCAGAAAAUCAAAAUUCAUUUUACCUCUUCCACCUCCAACUUUUGAAUAAUUAGAAAAAAUUCACAUUCACCCUCGUCAUUUGAUUAAAAAC